CCUACGGGAGGCAGCAGUGAGGAAUAUUGGUCAAUGGACGCAAGUCUGAACCAGCCAUGCCGCGUGCAGGACGACGGUUCUAUGCGUUGUAAACUGCUUUUGUCCAGGGACAAACUCAGAUACGCGUGCCUGUCUGAGCGUAUCUUACGAAUAAGGAUCGGCUAACUCCGUGCCAGCAGCCGCGGUAAUACGGAGGAUUCAAGCGUUAUCCGGAUUUAUUGGGGUUAAAGGGUGCGUAGGCGGUCGGAUAAGUUAGCGGUGAAAUCCCGAGGCUCAACUUCGGCAGUGCCUCUGAUACUGUUCGGCUAGAGAGGAGGGGCGGUAGGCGGAAUGUAUGGUGUAGCGGUGAAAUGCUUAGAGA
rnacentral:rRNA from 1 species